rnacentral:lncRNA from 1 species
CGCGCCUCAAUUUCAUAUCGAUUGCACUACACUUCCAAAAGAAUUGGUUGUGCGGUUCUUGUUUUCAUCAAAAGCAUUCUUUACGUUUAUCGCGAUUUCUGAGUUCUGCUAUGGCCGCUGAUUCCUCUGUAAUGUUCAAUGGAAAUGGAAAUCGGAGCAUCAACCCAAUGCCUAACCUACAGAGAACUUACCAAGUGGUUGUGGCGGCCACCAAAGAUAUGGGCAUUGGUAAGGAUGGAAAGUUGCCAUGGAGAUUACCUACUGAUCUCAAGUUUUUCAAACAAUGCCUAACCUACAGAGAACUUACCAAGUGGUUGUGGCGGCCACCAAAGAUAUGGGCAUUGGUAAGGAUGGAAAGUUGCCAUGGAGAUUACCUACUGAUCUCAAGUUUUUCAAGGAGAUAACUA